rnacentral:rRNA from 1 species
UACGGAGGGUGCAAACGUUGCUCGGAAUCAUUGGGCGUAAAGCGCUCGUAGGCGGCCUGACAAGUCAGGUGUGAAAGCCCUCGGCUUAACCGAGGAAGUGCACUUGAAACUAUUGGGCUAGAGUACUGAAGAGGGUCUCGGAAUUCCCGGUGUAGAGGUGAAAUUCGUAGAUAUCGGGAGGAACACCAGUGGCGAAGGCGGAGACCUGGGCAGAUACUGACGCUGAGGAGCGAAAGCGUGGGGAGCAAACAGG